rnacentral:tRNA from 1 species
GGCCUCGUAGCUCAGUUGGCUAGAGCGUUGGUUGUACCUAAGCCUGCCCCUUGCUGGUGUGGGUUCGAAUCCAACCGAGGCCG